UACGUAGGGCGCAAGCGUUGUCCGGAAUUAUUGGGCGUAAAGAGCUCGUAGGUGGUCUGUUACGUCUGCUGUGAAAACCCGGGGCUUAACCCUGGGCCUGCAGUGGAUACGGGCAGACUAGAGGUAGGUAGGGGAGAAUGGAAUUCCCGGUGUAGCGGUGAAAUGCGCAGAUAUCGGGAGGAACACCGGUGGCGAAGGCGGUUCUCUGGGCCUUACCUGACACUGAGGAGCGAAAGCGUGGGGGGCGAACAGG
rnacentral:rRNA from 1 species